CCUACGGGGGGCUGCAGUGGGGAAUAUUGGACAAUGGGGGCAACCCUGAUCCAGCCAUGCCGCGUGUGUGAAGAAGGCCCUCGGGUUGUAAAGCACUUUCAGUGAGGAAGAACGCCUGGUGGUUAAUACCCAUCAGGAAAGACAUCACUCACAGAAGAAGCACCGGCUAACUCCGUGCCAGCAGCCGCGGUAAUACGGAGGGUGCGAGCGUUAAUCGGAAUUACUGGGCGUAAAGCGCGCGUAGGUGGCUUGAUAAGCCGGUUGUGAAAGCCCCGGGCUCAACCUGUGAACGGCAUCCGGAACUGUCAAGCUAGAGUGCAGGAGAGGAAGGUAGAAUUCCCGGUGUAGCGGUGAAAUGCGUAGAGAUCGGGAGGAAUACCAGUGGCGAAGGCGGCCUUCUGGACUGACACUGACACUGAGGUGCGAAAGCGUGGGUAGCAAACAGGAUUAGAUACCCGGGUAGUC
rnacentral:rRNA from 1 species